GACAGAGGGUGCAAACGUUGUUCGGAAUUACUGGGCGUAAAGCGCGUGUAGGCGGUCUGAUAAGUCGGGUGUGAAAGCCCCGGGCUCAACCCGGGAAGUGCACUCGAAACUGACAGGCUAGAGUAUCGGAGAGGUUGGUGGAAUUCUCGGUGUAGAGGUGAAAUUCGUAGAUAUCGAGAGGAACACCGGUGGCGAAGGCGGCCAACUGGACGAAUACUGACGCUGAGACUCGAAAGCGUGGGGAGCAAACAGG
rnacentral:rRNA from 1 species